ACCGAGAUGGCGAAACUGGAAAACGCGCUAGACUCAAAAUCUAGUAGUUAUUAAUAACUUUACGGGUUCAAAUCCCGUUCUCGGUA
rnacentral:tRNA from 1 species